rnacentral:lncRNA from 1 species
AUCAUUAUGUUAAGAAAGUGUGUUCCAUGUUCCGAGCCCAAAGGCGGAGUGGAUCAUUACCCAGGAGGUCUUUCAAAAAAGUCGACAUACUCCCCAUGGUUCACCUGCUCACUUGGAGGCAACCCACUAACCUGACCAGUUUUGUUUUGUACCUUAAGACAUUGAAAAUUAAAUGCCCUGAAUGAAGAGAAUCACAGACUCUCAGAAGCUAUCCAGUCCAAUCAAUAACUGACAUCCGACCUCUCCAUAACAAGCACAGAUUGGGGAAGAAAAAAAAACCCAUUGUCUUCAUGAUUAUUUGAUAUUGUGGUCAAGAGAUGACCUGUGAAAUAACAUCUGAUGACUUUUACAUUCAGCAGUGUGACAUUUGAAGUUUUUUUAUUAGUGUUUUAGAGAAGUUUUUUUUUCCCUGUACAGGUAUUGAUACUUUGCAUUUCUUCUCUUGAAAAUUGUUUGCUCCUAUCCUUUGACCACUGACUGAUGACUCUUGGUCAUAAACAUUUAUAUCAGUUCAUUUUUAUCUUGGAUAUCAUACCUCUAUGAGAGAUAUUUUGUGCAAAGUUUUCUCCCCCAAAGAGAAUGUUCUCUUCUCAUUUUGUUAACAUUGAUUUUG